AACGAACGCUGGCGGCAUGCCUAACACAUGCAAGUCGAACGAAGCCUUCGGGCUUAGUGGCGCACGGGUGCGUAACGCGUGGGAAUCUGCCCUUGGGUUCGGAAUAACAGUUAGAAAUGACUGCUAAUACCGAAUGAUGUCUUCGGACCAAAGAUUUAUCGCCCAAGGAUGAGCCCGCGUCGGAUUAGCUAGUUGGUGAGGUAAAGGCUCACCAAGGCGACGAUCCGUAGCUGGUCUGAGAGGAUGAUCAGCCACACUGGGACUGAGACACGGCCCAGACUCCUACGGGAGGCAGCAGUGGGGAAUAUUGGACAAUGGGCGAAAGCCUGAUCCAGCAAUGCCGCGUGAGUGAUGAAGGCCUUAGGGUUGUAAAGCUCUUUUACCCGGGAUGAUAAUGACAGUACCGGAGAAUAAGCCCCGGCUAAACUCCGUGCCAGCAG
rnacentral:rRNA from 1 species